UAAAAUGGCUUCCAACUUCAAGUUAGAGUCUUCUGUCGCAUCAAAAGGAUCAGAUACCAUAUUGGACUAUACUUGCUCAGCUUGCCAGGAGCUGGAGGCUCAGUUUCAUUGUGAGGAAUGAUGCAAGGGUUUCUGUGACAGCUGUGUUAAACUGCACAGCCAACUGUACAAGACUCACACUGUGUUUGGAAGAGAACAAAAUGGAGAAAUGGCCGAUUGCCAGGUCAACGUUAGACUUGCUGGAGAAGUGUUCAGAGCAUAGCGAUGGGAUUAUAAAACUGUUCUGUGAGGACCAUAGCCAACUGUGUUGUCUUGUUUGCGUUGCACGCUAUCACAGAUCAUGCAGUAAAGUCAGCCUUAUUGAAGAGAUAAACAGAAAUUCAACGGCAGACGCCCAUCAUCUCUCAUCAAACAUUCACAAAAUACAAAAAGAGUUCAUGAAAGUGAAAGAAAAAGCAUAAGGCAAUCUUAUGACGCUUAAAAUGACGUUCCAGCGAAUAAAGGUAGAGAUCGAAACAGUGCGGCAGAACAUAAAUAAAGAAUUAGAUCUGCUAGAGAGAGAAUCAAUGCAACAAGUGGACAAAUUGAUUUCUAGCUAUACGAUAAAUCUUACUCAAGAAAGAGACAAGUGUGACAUAAUUCAAGAAAGUAUGCAAUGCCUCAGUAAAGUGGUUAAUGAAGUUUGCAACAAGAGCAGUAAGCUUCUUUUUAUGGCAUUAGAAAAAUAUCAACAGCAGAUAAAGGACUUUGAAUUAUUUCUAAAAGAGUCGAAAAUUACACAUGAAUAUGGUAUACAAUUUGCACCCAGUAUCGACUUUGCGAAGUAUAUAUUCCAAUUGACAGGGCUGGGGAAAGUUGUACAUCCAAAAUAGGUCAUUUUGCUGCAGAGAAAAUCAGAAUAUAGCGUUGAAAGGUCGCCUGAUAAAUAUUCAUGCAUUAUUUAUGCAAUAUGUGAGCUGCCUACGGGUGUGACACUUGAACUAGACUUUCAAAAUAAUAAGGUGAAACUGUUAGACAAGAAAUAUCUGUUUUUUAGCUAUUGUGAAGUGUCUUCCUAUGUAUAUGACAUGUGUAUGAUAUCUCCAUGUGAGGUAGUCAUUACAACGAAUGAGCAAAACGGUGACGGACUACACGGUCUACAGAUGAUAACUGUAAGGAAUUACAGGUUGCAGAAAGGAAACAAGAUCCAGCUGCCACAUAAUUGUGUUGGUAUUGCCCACCAUAAGGGUUCUCUGUAUGUAACUUCCGGUAAAGCUCUGUAUCACUACACUCUGACUGGAACAGUAAUAAAGAAACUGUACGAGGAUACAAUAGGAUCUAAUACAGUGUACAAAUGUGCUGUAAACGUCGUGAGUGACACGAUCUUCGUCACCAACAUAGACAAAAACACACUUCUUACACUAGCCAUGGAUGGAACAGUUAUCUCCACCUUUUCUGCCAUUGACCUAAAAGGCCAACGGGGUGUUCAUGUGACAGCUAGUGACCAAGAAUUCGUCAGUAACGCAUCAACCAGCACAAUUAUACAAGUUAACAGCGACGGGAAGAAGAAGCUACCGGGAAAGAUGGGGUAAAAUGCCAUUUUUCAGCGUUCUACAGUUGUAGCACUGAUUCAUUGCUCGUGGUUUAUGUAAAUAAUAAAAUCAAAAUUUUUAAAGUAGCAUAGGCGUCGAGAAAACAAAUCGUGAACUAGAAUGAUAGAAAUGAUCAACUUAGGAUUUAUUCUAUAAUUAAUGUUCACUUGUAGAUUUACAAGUCAGCAUAAUAUGAAGUACGUUUACAACGUAUUAUUUCGUGUUGUAAAUAUGCUUAAAUUACAAAUAUACAGCUUGUGUAAACAUAUAAAUUAUUAGUUAUUUUAAAACAUUUAUUGCAAAAAAUACUGGUAAACACAUGAAUAUCAUUUUUCAUACACUAACGUCCUUAAAUGGAGGAAUGCAGAAAAAGACAUUUGAAAGUCGUCUGACAAAUGUCGUUUGCAUUUUUCAAAAAUAAAGCAGAAUAAAAACCAUUUACGUAAAUGGCUGCAUGCUGUUUGUUUUUACUGAAACUUUUUUUACAUACACGUUUACGUUUUGAUUCUUGUUUUCAUUUACGUUCUUCCUUUGAUUAUUUUUUUUUA